GCAUGAGUUAAAUGGUGCAAUGAGUAAUAAUGCAGUCAUUUACAUAUCCCAUAAGUGUCUUCCUCUUUUAUUUAUCAUUGUUUCAAGCGAAACAGGUUUUAGUUGGAAGAACACUUUUUCAAAAGCUCCCAGACAUAGCAUAUACAGCCUUAUUUGACUUUACUGGAAUAAGACAAUGAACAACAUUUGGCACAACCCAGAGAAAGGAACAGCAUGAGAAGAAUCAAGAUGCCGGCCCCUCUGAGGGUCAGAAUCAUAACAAUUGCCAUCCUCACCAACCUCUAACGAUGCCACAACAACGUAAAGAAGACCAAUCUGGCACCAAGACAGAGGUGUAUUAUGAAAACCAUUUUCUUCCUUGGAAAUGGAACAUCACAGCCUUAAUUCAGAACAACCACGUGGAAUCAACUGUGCCUGUAAAUAGCACGGUGGUCCCAUUUCAGGCUGGGGUGGCGGGUGUGGAUAUACAUCCUCAUCUAGGCUUCAUCUCAAUAGGAUCAUCUCCAGACUGUGUUCAGGCAGCUCUACCUCAUACCGAUGGCUCUUCCUCACAGCAUUCACCUCAACACCAGCUUCUUCAAUGAUGCAGUCAUAACAUCAGGUAUGAAAAGCUCCAGUAGCCUUGGAAGAAGAGAUUAAGUGAAGGAAGAGGCUGCUUUUGAAAACAUUUCUGCUGCUAUUUUCUGCUGCUUUUAAGAUGUGUGUGUGUGUGUGUGUAUAAGUGUGUGUGUGUAUGUGGUAGCUAGGCAAUGUAUGUUUUUGUAUUUAAGAUAUACAUUUUAAUUUUAAGAUAAAUAUUUGCUAUUACUUAUGCAGUGAGAUGGCCUUUUCAUGUUCCAAUCAAAAUCAUAAAAACACCAAGAGUGCUUUGGUGAUUCCACUCUGGUUGCAGAUAAUAUUUUUUUCUGAUAGAUUAGUUAGCCUUCAAAAUUCUUUACAUAUGAGCAUGAUCUAGCCAUAAUAUUAUCGCCUUGAUCACACUGACAGCAUCAUUGUGCAUUGUCUAGAUAUGUGUGCAACAAAAGUUCACCUUCUGCUACCAUUUUUGUCAAGCCGUCAACACAGAACGCACUGCAACUGCCUCUGCAAUGCAAUGCUGUAAGUCAAAUACAACUUUCCAUUGGAAAUGAAUGUACUUCUGGUGUACUAAAACGCAAUGAAGCUGUUGGUGUGACUGAGGCAUUUUAAAGUUGGAUUUAUCGAAGAUAUGCGUCAAACUGUAUGCAUAGAGGGCUUGACAGAAAGGGUAGCAGAAGGUGAAUGUUGAAGUUUUGUAGCAUACAUUUCAAGAUGAUGCUGCGUACCAUUUUGCGCAAUAACACUGCAGGUGUGAUCAAGGCAUUAUCCAUCGAACUAGCUUACGGCUCAGCUCUCACGACUUUAGCUAAUUAACAUAGAUACAUAGCUAGCUAAUGUUAGCUACCAAUCUCACAAUUUUCUGUCCCCAGGAAAUAUCAGUUCUUAUUUAGUGUAAAAUGUGGAUUCCAAAAAGUCAUUAAAUAUAAGGUCAUGUGUCCUUUACCUUAAAAACACCAAAAUGUGGAUCCUGAAAGGGAAUUUUAUGCAUUUUAAACACUUUUUGUCAGUGGAUGUAGGCGUUUUUUGGAAUGUCCUCAGGCGACAAGAAAUAUAAGCCAUAAAAUAAUCAAAUGUUUAAAAUAUUUCUUGACUAUUUCAUAGUCCUAGUUAAAGUUUUUUUUUUUUAUUACUUUAGAAGGUUCCUAUUCCGCUUAAAUGGACCCUGUAUCAUCUGAUGUUUCUCCAGUAUGACACAUGGGUUUAUCAAGGCUUCAUGCCCAAAAUGCAGUAAGCUCCACUGAAAAAUGGAGGGUGGUACAUCUAGGCAUAGUAGUACCGAAUUCUGUGAGACUCUGCAUUACUAUAAAGUAUACUGUAAAUGUCACACCUGCUCCCGAUCCCCCUCUCUGGUGCUCAAUGUCACCAGCGCUACAUUACACACACCUGCGCUUAAUUAUGGGACUCACCUGGACUCCAUCACAUCAUUUACCUCCCCUAUAACUGUCACUUCCUCAGUUUCAUUCCAGAGUCAGCAUUGAUGUUGUUAUGUUUCUCCUGUUCAGAAGCUGUUCUUGUUUUGUUUCGUGUCUAUUUAUGAUUAAAUCCACACCCUGUACUCGC